AUACGUAGGGUGCAAGCGUUAAUCGGAAUUACUGGGCGUAAAGCGUGCGCAGGCGGUUUUGUAAGACAGUGGUGAAAUCCCCGGGCUCAACCUGGGAACUGCCAUUGUGACUGCAAGGCUGGAGUGCGGCAGAGGGGGAUGGAAUUCCGCGUGUAGCAGUGAAAUGCGUAGAUAUGCGGAGGAACACCGAUGGCGAAGGCAAUCCCUUGGGCCUGCACUGAUGCUCAUGCACGAAAGCGUGGGGAGCAAACAGGAUUAGAUACCCUGGUAGUCCACGCCCUAAACGAUGUCAACUGGUUGUUGGGGAUUUAUUUUCUCAGUAACGAAGCUAACGCGUGAAGUUGACCGCCUGGGGAGUACGGCCGCAAGGUUAAAACUCAAAGGAAUUGACGGGG
rnacentral:rRNA from 1 species